rnacentral:rRNA from 1 species
GAUGAACGCUGGCGGCGUGCCUAAUACAUGCAAGUCGAGCGAACAGACGAGGAGCUUGCUCCUCUGACGUUAGCGGCGGACGGGUGGGUAACACGUGGAUAACCUACCUAUAAGACUUGGAUAACUUCGGGAAACCGGAGCUAAUACCGGAUAAUAUAUUGAACCGCAUGGUUCAAUAGUGAAAGACGGUUUUGCUGUCACUUAUAGAUGGAUCCGCGCCGCAUUAGCUAGUUGGUAAGGUAACGGCUUACCAAGGCAACGAUGCGUAGCCGACCUGAGAGGGUGAUCGGCCACACUGGAACUGAGACACGGUCCAGACUCCUACGGGAGGCAGCAGUAGGGAAUCUUCCGCAAUGGGCGAAAGCCUGACGGAGCAACGCCGCGUGAGUGAUGAAGGUCUUCGGAUCGUAAAACUCUGUUAUUAGGGAAGAACAAAUGUGUAAGUAACUAUGCACGUCUUGACGGUACCUAAUCAGAAAGCCACGGCUAACUACGUG